rnacentral:rRNA from 1 species
ACGGGGAGCAGCAGGCGCGAAACCUUUACACUGCACGCCAGUGCGAUAAGGGAAUCCCAAGUGCGCAGGCAUAGAGCCUGCGCUUUUGUACACCGUAGGGAGGUGUACGAAUAAGGGCUGGGCAAGACCGGUGCCAGCCGCCGCGGUAAUACCGGCAGCCCGAGUGAUGGCCGAUCUUAUUGGGCCUAAAGCGUCCGUAGCUGGCCGCACAAGUCCAUCGGAAAAUCCACCCGCCCAACGGGUGGGCGUCCGGUGGAAACUGUGUGGCUUGGGACCGGAAGGCGCGACGGGUACGUCCGGGGUAGGAGUGAAAUCCCGUAAUCCUGGACGGACCGCCGAUGGCGAAAGCACGUCGCGAGGACGGAUCCGACAGUGAGGGACGAAAGCCAGGGUCUCGAACCGGAUUAGAUACCCGGGUAGUCCUGGCCGUAAACAAUGCCUGCUAGGUGUGGCUCCCGCUACGAGCGGGUGCUGUGCCGUAGGGAAGCCGCUAAGCAGGCCGCCUGGGAAGUACGU